CUUCAGUGAUGAUACGAUGACGAGUCGGAACAGGACAUUCUGUCUCUCUGGACUCUGGGUCAGUCGGCACGUUCUGUGCUCCUGAUCUCAGUUCCGUUGAGUGGCGUGUUUCUCGGUUGAAGACAUCGAGGCAUUUGUCUGAGAAGA